GACGAACGCUGGCGGCGUGCCUAAUACAUGCAAGUCGAGCGAAUCAAUGGGAGCUUGCUCCCUGAGAUUAGCGGCGGAGGGGUGAGUAACACGUGGGUAACCUGGCUGUAAGACGGGGGUAACUUCGGGAAACCGGAGCUACACACUGAUAAUUUCUUUUUGCGCAUGAGGAAAGAUGGAACGAUGGUUCUUCUAUCACUUACUGAUGGAGUCGCGGCGCAUUAGCAUGUUGGUGAGGAAACGGCACACCAAGGCGACGAUGCGUACCCUACCUGGGAGUGUGAUCAGCCAUAAUGUGACUGAGACACGGCCCAGACUCCUACGGGAGGCAUCAGUAGGGAAUCUUCCGCAAUGGACGAAAGUCUUACGGAGCAACGCCGCGUGAGCGAAGAAGGCCUUCGGGUCGUAAAGCUCUGUUGUUAGGGAAGAACAAGUAUCGGAGUAACUGCCGGUACCUUGACGGUACCUAACCAGAAAGCCACGGCUAACUACGUGCCAGCCGCCGCGGUAAAAC
rnacentral:rRNA from 1 species